rnacentral:lncRNA from 1 species
GAUGAAGUAUGCAAUGAUUUCACAUUCUAACUUGAAUAAAGACGAGCAACAAAUCACCGUACUUAAGGUUUUCACAUAUCCUUUUCAUACUAAAGUCAUAUCAAUAAUAGAAUAAUAGGGAAAUCGAUAAUGAACCUGGACUGAAAUUCUUCUUAGUAACAGUAGAGGAAUGAGCAUAUACAAUGUUUUGCUCCCAAAUUUAAACUGAGAACAAAGCAAUUGAGCAAAAACGCGAGCCAAACCACGAACCUCAGACGAAAACUCCAAUCGGCAUCAGAAUGAACUCAAUUAAACCCCGUCGAUCCCAUGGAAAAAAAGGGAGUGGCGAUGAGAGGGGACCAUUAUGGUGGUGGAAGAGCUCGACGAUAGUGAGGCGCGGCUGGGUUCUCUGAGGGGGUUGGUUUCCGGCGAAGCAACGGUUGCUGGUGUGGGCUCCGCUGGAGAUGAGGAAAGGGGGGUCGUUUGGAGAAGACGAAGUCAGGGGGUGGGGUCAUUUAUGGUUGCGGCGAAUCUGUUUUGUCUCUUAGGUCUUGGUGUAUUUUUUUUUUUGCUAUUUCAGCUUCUUCUUCUUCUUCUUUUUUCAGGCGUUAGGUGUUAGCCUAUAUAUGUAGGUCCUAGAGUCUAGGUUUAUAUUUUGUGUAUUUGCUCUUAGGUCUUUAGGGUCUUUUUAUUUAUUUAUUUAUUCCAAAGAAGAGUCUAGAAGGGUCCCUAGGAUUAGCUUAAUGGGUAUUGGGCUUAAGGAAUAGGCUAGACACUUGGGCCUUUAUGACUAGCUAUGCUUAGAAUUAGCUUAAUUAACUAAAAAUCUAUCCAUAUAGAAAUUUUAUCAAAAAUAUUAAUUAGCCCUACUUAAGUAAAAAUAAUUAUUAAAAUAAGACUGACUGUUAAAACAAAAUUAUUUAUUGGUAUUUUUCAAGAUUAAAAAUGACUAUAAAACAUUAAUGAACCUAUUUUUGUAAUUUUCGUUUUCUUGUAAUAAAAUAAAAGUAAAAGAGUAAAAUGAGUUGAAAUAACUAUAUUAGGCCUAAAUUAAAUAUUUACAUGCUAAAAUAUUUAAAAUCUUGAGGAGGGUCAAAAAUCACAUGUCUACAGCUGCCCCUCUUUGACUGGAAACACGAAGUAUUUUCAGACAAAGAACGACCAGACAGGUUUUUGGACCCGACCCUUAUUUGGAGAGACUAAAACUAAGAGAAAGGGGAAUUUGACCGAGCCCUUGUAUCUAAGCUGCCUACAUAUCCUUGGCUAUAAAAGAAUCAGGCCACAUGUAGUUCAGAAGUGAGUGAGAUGAUGGAGUAUGCCGAGGUGGAGAGCCAGUCGAGGUGCCGUUCCGCCGAGGUUCCGGUCCGCGGUCCUGAUGNNNNNNNNNNNNNNNNNNNNNNNNNNNNNNNNNNNNNNNNNNNNNNNNNNNNNNNNNNNNNNNNNNNNNNNNNNNNNNNNNNNNNNNNNNNNNNNNNNNNNNNNNNNNNNNNNNNNNNNNNNNNNNNNNNNNNNNNNNNNNNNNNNNNNNNNNNNNNNNNNNNNNNNNNNNNNNNNNNNNNNNNNNNNNNNNNNNNNNNNNNNNNNNNNNNNNNNNNNNNNNNNNNNNNNNNNNNNNNNNNNNNNNNNNNNNNNNNNNNNNNNNNNNNNNNNNNNNNNNNNNNNNNNNNNNNNNNNNNNNNNNNNNNNNNNNNNNNNNNNNNNNNNNNNNNNNNNNNNNNNNNNNNNNNNNNNNNNNNNNNNNNNNNNNNNNNNNNNNNNNNNNNNNNNNNNNNNNNNNNNNNNNNNNNNNNNNNNNNNNNNNNNNNNNNNNNNNNNNNNNNNNNNNNNNNNNNNNNNNNNNNNNNNNNNNNNNNNNNNNNNNNNNNNNNNNNNNNNNNNNNNNNNNNNNNNNNNNNNNNNNNNNNNNNNAGGGGGCUCCUGAUUGCCGAACUCCUUUGAACCUUGCUGCUUCCCUUCGUUCUCCAGGUGGGCUCCUGGUUGCUGUCUUCCUUUGAACAUUGUUGCUUCCCUUCGUUCUUCAGGUGGGCUCCUGAUUACCAACACUUGCGCUGUUUUUCCUUGAAACUUGAAUUGCCUCCCUUGAAACUUGAACUGCUUCUCUUUGUUCUCUAGGUAGGCUCCUGAUUUCCAACACUUGAACUGACCCCUCUGAAACUGCUACUUGUGAACCUGAUUACAAUAAAACAAACAAACAAAAGAAAUUUUUCUGCCCCAGUUUGAUAUCGGGAACAUCUGUGAGUGUUAAUCUAAUCAUAAUACCCAAAAGCUCUAAGAAUUUAAAAGCUAAAUCCCAUUAUCCAGGAGGGUCCUGAAAAUUAAAAAUUAAAUCUCAUCUCAAGAGUGACAACUUCAAAGCUAAAUUCUAUUUCCUAAAGGUAAAAUUUACGCUAAAUCUUAUUGUCUAUGAAGGUCUUAAAAACUUAAAACUAAAUCCCAUUAUCCGGGUCCUGAGAACUUUAAAUUAAAUCAUAUUAUCCAUGAGGGUCCUGAAAAUUUUAAAUUAAGUCCCAUUAUCCAGGAGGGUCCUGAAAAGCUGAGAAUGAACUUACCUAAGCCGCGCUCUUUUCCUGGAGGAUCUAUGUAGACCGAACAAAAUUCCUUUCCCCUAAACCACUCUUUUCCUCAUGGAGGGUUCAUGUAGAUCGAAUAAAUUUUUCUUUCCCCUUCUCAAACCGCCUUUGUGCUGACAAACUUUGGGCACGACACUUGAAAAAGUUCAAACUUCCAAGCUUUGAUUUGGACACAAUUUUCGUCCCUGUUUCAAACAAAGAGAACUUAUGAGUUUAUAAAUAUGGUGGUUGGUUUGUGGCCUUGAAUUUGAGGGUGAUUUCUCCUUCACUUCCCAUGAUAACUUUGAUUUCCACUCGAAAGAUCUUGCUUUUUUAUUGACUUACUACUUUCUCUGUCACCCUUAUCACGGAAAAUACCUCUAAUCUGUUCAAACCCAAUACCAUUCAUCUGUUGCAUUGUGCUCUUGCAUUGACAUGUACUGAACCUUUGUGUUUCACAUGAAUCCCAAAGCACAUCAAUUGCCAUCCACUCAGUGCACAUGUUGUUCUUUCCUGACUUAAAACACUGGCCUUGGCCUUGAGGUCUAUUGCUCCUUCAUUUGCCAUGAUAACUGAUUUCCGCUUGGAAGACCUUCCUUGUCCCUGGUUAACCACUUCUUUUGUCAAUCUUAUCAUAGAAAAUACCUUUUAUCCGUUCACCCUUCAUCCUCGAUCUAUUGCACUGAUCAUGAAUUGACAUAUACCAAACCUUUGUAUUUCACAUGAAUCCCAAAGCACAUUGAUUGUUGCCAACUCAAUGCGCAUGUUGUUCUUUCCUGACUUAUGCCACUUUGAUGUGUUAGCCAGAUCCUAUUUUGUGCAAUUGGAAAGCGGGUGGCAAAUUGUGAAGUCAUUUCUCACUUGUUCUGACCAAACAAACUUAGGAAGAGGAAGUAAACAAAACAAAAGGAACAGAGUAAAGGACAAUGGAAAGAGAUGAUUCCUAACAAACAAAACUACAAAGCAAAAACUUAUCAGAUGUGGACACCAACUCUAAUAACCAUGACAUGCACAUGUGGCCUAAUCUGUCAAGCAAGUCUGAUGUUCAACACUUGUUAUACCCCUAAACCGUGAAACUGGGCUUCAAUGCUCCGAUUAUCCAAUCUGAUUCACAAUCCUUAUUCGACUUGUAGUGCCCGAAGGGUUUUCACUAUCAAGCCUCUCUCAUUUUGUUCUUUUUCUCAACUCAUCAUCGCCUUAUAGUGCCUGGGAAGGUUUUCACCGAUAAGACUCUCAUUUUUUUUCUUCUUUCUUCUGAUUUUGUUGAUGACAAGGCGUUGACCAUAGUAAAAACAUCAUGUGCUCCUGGCAUGUCUAAACUCAGCACUCUCAAAGAUUAUUUGGGAGGUCUUUUUUGGACUAUGAUGUGGCUUUUGGAUAGGGUUAGAAAGAAAGGAUAUCAUAAAGGCUCAAAAUUACUAAAACAACAGGGUUAAUUUAUUUACAACUUUUGGAAUCCAUUCUAAAAACUUUGCCCAAUUUCUAAAACAAUGGAAUUUGAUUCUUUUUUAUUUUGUUUUUCUUUUUUGAUGGAGUUAUUAAUAAAGACCGCCCCACAUUCGACUUCGUCGGAUUAUGAAAUAUUUUAUUUGGUAUGACCGAACCGUUAGGCUGCCUACGUAUCUUGUGGUGACAAGAAUCAGGUCAAACGUAAUUCACAAAACUACUUUUUGUAACUAUUUGCCUUUCUUUUUUCUUUCUCUCUUUUUUUUUCUUUCUUUCUCUUUUUUUCUUUUUCCUUUUUUCUCCUUUAUCUCUAUUUUUCCCUUCUUUUUUGAAUUUUCCUUUCGGAAUGAACUUUCUAAAAUAAACCUAUGGGGACAUGAACUCUUUUUUUUCGUAUGACUCUAACUUGAUUCCAAAAGAGGGGAGGUCAAAGAAAUCAGUACAGGCUCAAAAGAGUAUCGAAUGGUAUAAGUGUUUGGGUAGCUGAAAGAGGGCCUCCUAAUCGCUGAAAAUGCCAAGUACAACACAUGCAACUUGAAACGGAAAUUGAAAAUCAUGCACAAUAUUUCUUUUGCAGCUUCGACAUUGAUAUCACUGAUAUUCCUUCGACUUUUAGUUAGCGCCUUUUCAAGUACAGAAUCCUCGUUGGGUGAUUCCCUCUUCACAAUGGAUAUCUUCCAUCAAUUUGGAGAGAAAUUCCUUGACUUUAUCUUGUAACUUGAGAUGCACUUGAACUCAAAGUUGCUUGCUUCAAAUCGUCCGGUAUGCACUCUCCCUUAACGAAUUCUUGUUACCCUAUUAACUUUCCAAAUUAACUGCCCCAGUUUCACACAGUUCGGGCUUCAAAUGAACUCAAAAUAUCCAAAUCUGUACUUAUUUCCCUCAAGUGUUCCCAUCAUCUUCAAAAUUAUUUUAUUGCUUCAUGAUUAAACUAACUUUUAAGACCAGGCCUAGAAUUAUGCGUGCAUGUCAUGUCACUAGAGCCAGCAUGAAAAGAACUAUAAAAGGAAAAAAACUAAACAAAAAUGAUUAACAUAAAACAGAAAAUUGCAUUAGAUAGACGGUGAAAGGGUUUGAACAACAAGAUAAGUAAAAUAAACUGGGGUACGACCCUGGAACAAACCUAGAUAACACGAAAUGAGUUACUACGACUAAAUGAACUCGGCAAAAUAAAAGGAUAGAAGGGUUUGAUAGUCACAAGACAAUAUCCGAAUUACAACCCUGAAAUAAACCGGACAACAGAAAUGACAAUAAAAUAAACCACCAAUACUCCUCCCUGGCUAACCAAGAAAGGAGCAUCUUUUCAAUCACCAAGCUCAACAUCUUAGCCAUUGAAUUUUGCAUCAACAAUACUAGGACCUUCACAAGUCUUCAUCACAUUGUUCUUAACAAAUUGCUUUUGGGUUCCCUUUUGCCGGCUCGUUGUUAAGAUCAACCUCUGAUAGCGCUGAAAGCUUUGCAGCGCAUGGACCUCCGAGGAUCUCAGAAGAAUUCUCAUAUUCCUUUUCAAAACAAACCAUACUCACCAUAUGCGUCUCAUUACGAACAGGCGAUGGACUUUGGCUAGUGUCUGUUGCAUCUGGAUUUUGCACGACAAUGUCACCUGCAUUAAUAAGCUUAUAAAUUGCAUUUUUUAGGUGCCAACACUUUUCUGUACUAUGACCCGGGGCAUCGGAGCAAUAUGCGCACCUUUGAGAAAAAUCAAACUUCUUUGGCAGAGGGUUUGGCAUUUUUAUCUGAAUCGGCUUCAACAUAUCCAAUUGCCUCAACCUUUGGAACAAACUGGCAUAUGAUUCUCUAAUAGGGGUGAAAGCCUUUUCUUUUUUCAACAGUCUUUUCAGUUUGUAUUCUGGCCUCGGUUGGAAACUUUUGCGGGUAGGUGGCUGAUAUGCUUGAGGAGGCGGGUAAGACAUUUGUGGAAGUGGUGCAGGCCAUCGCGGGCCUCAUGGGUGUGGAGCAUAUGGUGGUGCAUUGUGGAUAGGGUACUAGGAAAGUGAUGUACGACUUUGGGGGUUACGUGGAGAGAAGUAGCAUUGGGGAGGAUCAUCUGGUGCACAAGGAGAUCCAUGGGGUCGAUGUCGAGGCUGAACGCGUUGAGUAGGAAUGCCCAGUGGAUCAUCUUUUCUAUUUCUCUUUAUUCCACCCAAACUUACUGGGAUGUUCUGAAUGUCUUCCGUAGUAUCUUUCAAUGCCGAAUAACUCAUGAUUUUGCCUGACUUGAUUCCCUUUUCUACCAUAUUCCCCGUUUUUACCACAUCAUUGAAAGGUUUACCCAAGGUCGGAAUCAAAUGACUGAAGUAGGUGGGCCCCUAAGCUUGUAGGAAAAGCUCAACCAUUUCUUCUUCACCAAUCGAGAGACUGACUCGAGAAGAUUUCUCCUUCCAUCUGAGCCCAAACUCCCUAAAGCUUUUCUCCAGUUUCUUUUCCAUCUUAGAUAGGGAGGAGCGGUCUGGGGUAAUGUCUAAUUUGUAUUGAAACUGUCGAACAAAAUCUUGAGCCAUGUUGCCCAAUGUAUGCCACUUACCGACAUAUUGACGAUUAUGCCAUUCCAAAGCUGCCCCAGUCAAGCUCUCACUGAAAUACGCAAUCAACAAAUCAUCUUUCUCGUCAGCACUACUCAUUUCCCUGCAAUAAACCCUCAGAUGGGCUACCGGAUCUCCACGGCCCUCAUACAAAUUGAACUUUGGCACUUUAAACCCCGCAGGCAGAUGAACAUCAGGGAACAUAUAAAUCUGAUUUCUCAUCCCUUGCAUGCUCCUUAAGGACUAUUCCAUACCUUUCAGCUUCCUGGAUAUCUCAUCUCGCCCUUCUUUUCCUGUGACCUUUUCAUUUUCAGCAUGAGGCUCAUUCCGAGUGCUCUCCUUGUAUGAGCUAAGAACCUUGUGGGCAACCUCUGAGAGGUAAUAUUGGGCAUCAUGAGCUCUGAGUGGGUAUUCAUUGUUGGAUAUAGUGGAUAUGACAGGAGGGCAAUUUUGGGGAAAGGUAAUUGGAGGACGAGUGAUGGAGCUACUAGGGUGGUUGGGAAAGCUGUGAUAAGCAGAACAAUCUGGAGAGUAUGGGGAAUCAUCUGGCACUAUGACCAGAGUUUGGGUAAGGGUAGCAUCUAGGAAGGUAAGUGGUGGAGGGGGUGGUGCCUUCCUAGUCAUCCAAGCCUGAUACAUGUCCGCCAUGUGUUGUCUUAACAUCCUCACCUUUUCAACUAACCCAUUGUCCUAUUCAACCAAUUGCUUUUGGGCACCCGUAUCAACCAACUCAGUUCUGUUGUCAUCUGCCAUUGCCUUUCAACUUUAUGUUGUAGAGAAGAGUUACCACUUUAAGAACCACAAACCAACCACCUUUCUGCUAUAAUGAAGAUAACAAAAGGAACAAAAUGAAGUCAUCACGUUAGCGUUAGGGCAUUUAACAUAAGAUAAUCUCAUUUUAUGUGCAAUGCACCUAGCCACAGUUACCGGUUCUAAAAUGACUUCGAGGGUACGAAGGUCAGUUGGCAUCAUCCCAAUUUGUUCAUCUCAAUCCUCUCUUUUCUUUGCUUUUCUAGCACUUGCUUGCUCAUUUUCCUUCCUUUUUUUGCUAAUUAUCACUCUCUUCUUCCUCUCAUUUUUCACAUCCCAUCAUUUCACCCCUUUUUUUCUUUUUUUUCUCUUUUUUUUUCCUUUUGUUUUUUUUUUCGUAAAAAUAAAACAUUUUGAUCGAACCCUAUAUAGGUUGCCUACUAUCAUGACGCCGCAUGAAUCAGAUCUUUGCGUACUUUGAGAAGAUCGCGAAUAGACUAAAUAAACUAACAUUCUCUUUUUUCUUUCUUUCUCUUUUUUCUACCUUAAUGACCAAUCCGAAGAGAAAGAAAAAUAAAGGAAGAAAAACUUUUUUUUUCUAGACUUAAUCUUCUAUAACCUAUUCUAAACUCAAGAUUAACGGAUUUUUUUUUCUUUUGAAACAAAUACUCUAUUAAGGAAAAAUCCUAGAAGAGAAAAAUAUUUUUUGACUUUUUUUUGUGAAGGAAAUCUAAAAAAUAAGCCAAAGAAAAACUAUUUUUAAUUUUAGUUUGAUAUCUUGAAAGAAAGAUUUCGAACCAAGAAAUAAAAAAGAUGAAAAUGUUUUUGGAUUUCAGUUUGACUACAUAUGGGAGAAACUCUGAAAAUAAACUCAGGAUAAAGUAUGUUAUUUUUUUUCUUCUAUGUACAAUGUCCUAAAGUUCUAGUAAAAUUAAAAAAGAAUUAUUUUUCAUUUUUCGUGAAUUUCUCAAAGAAGAACAUCAAAAGAAAAUAUAUUUUUUUUUGGAUUUUUGGAAUUAAUAUCUUAAAGAAAACUUUUAAAGAGGUACUAAAACUUUUUUUUUUUUUGAAUUUUUAGUCUUAAUAUACGAAAGGAAAUAUAAAAGCAAUUUAUUUUGAGUUCUAGAAAUUAAUUCAAUAAAGGAAAACCACCUCAAAUGAUUUUUAUUAUUCCUAGAAUUAGUAUUAUAAAAAAAACUUCUACCAGAAAUAUAAAAAUGUAACUUUUUUUUUUGGAUUUUUGAUUUAUAACACAUUUUCCAAAUACAAAGUAGAAAGUACAAUAACAAAAGACUCGACAUUACUGUACAAAACUAGAAAGUAAAAGAUGAUAUAAAAUGAAGAACAUACUCAAUAACACUAUGUGAGACAAUAACACUUCCUGUUAGACACAUGCAAGACAUGAUUGUGGCUGUUUUUCUAAAAUUAAUCAGUGUGGCUAAAGUGGCUAAAAAUGCAAGAUUUGGCUAAGACCCCGCAAAGCGAAGAACCUAAGAUUCACUAGGAAGACCGGACACUAUGUGGAUUGCCUAAGAAUUAGGUAUGCGUAGUUCGGGCAAAUUAGAUACGGGCAAGAAUUAAAAAACUAACUAAUUUAGAGAAAACAUAUUUUGCUUUGAAAAAUGAUGAAACAUAUAAACUCUUUUUGGAUUUUCUUUUCCUCUUUUUUUUGAUUUUUUGAUUUUCGAAAAAUGAUGAAAAAGUGCAAAAUCUUUUUGAAUUUUUCAUGUUUUUUUUUCCUUUUCUUUUAAAAAAUGUGAAAGAGAACAUAACUGGGCCCUACUUGCCUUAUUUUCAAACUUCACCCUCUCUUUUUUUUUCAUCUGCCCUCAACUAUCAUUGGUCCGCCAAAUGACCCUUUUACCCUUGAAGAAAUGCAACAUGUAGCACAUAUGAUGCAUCAGGAUGGUCUUUUAUUUUGGGGUACACUUGUCCUAGACGGACCCAACCUCUGUGUUGAGUCCCCAAAGUCAAAUGCAUAUGAUACAAACAAUAGUUCCUACUAGGGAUCUGGCAUGAGGCUGAGUUAUUCUGAGUUCAAAACCUGGGUAUGUUGUUCUAGAUUUGUGUACCCGAGCGGCCACAUCGAGCCGGGGGGGCUACGUACCGGGAACCAAAAUGCCAUCUGGCUUUGUAACUUGUCCGAGCCUCUUCCUAAUUUAAGGUAUGACACUAACAUAAGAGGAGUCACGCCAGUGUGCACAUCCCCGAAGAUGAGAAGAGAAGGGUUUCGUAGCAGUUUAUAUACAGUUCAGAUAAUAUAAAAGCGGUAAAAGCAACAUUUAGCACAUUAGGCCCAAACAUGUAAUUAAAACCAGAUAAUAAAUAAAAGCCAAAUAUAACAAUUAUUCUAAGCUCGAAUUCUUGAACCCUGAACUAGAGAUUAUGGGUUCUUGUCCCCAGCAGAGUCUCCAGAGAUGUCACACAUCCUUUUUCUACCACCGAAGGGGUAUAUAAGGGAGUUUGUCCAAUUUAAGUGACAAUCGAAACAGGAUUAUUUAUUUAGAAAUCAGAGUCACCAAUUGGGAUAAUUUAUGGUGUUCGAUGUCACCGGUUUAAAUCCCGAAUCGAGGAAAAGAUUGACUCUGUUUUACAGUCCGCAAACACAGAAAUUCGGGUAAGGAAUUCUGUUAACCCAGGAGAAGGUGUUAGGCAUUCGCGAGUUCCGUGGUUCUAGCACGGUCGCUCAACUGUUAUUAUUGGUCUAAUAAUCUGAUUUUAAAACACUUUUAAGCAUAUGUGUAUUUUUUAACUUUCUAACCGCUUUUAGUAUUUCAGGAAAAUUCAAGGUUAUUUAAAACACAUCGUAGGCCACUCUACAUGAAAUGCACCCGCGGUUCACGACACAUUCUAUUUAACCUUGUUGGAAAUUGGAAUCGGGUCACAUGAAAUGCACACUCAAAUUUUGUAAUUAAAAAUCACAGCUAUAUCAUGGGAACCAUACCCGUUGCUAUGACAAUUAUUUAAUUAACGCGCCUAAAGCAAACUACGAAAGUUCAAGGCAUUUUUUGUACUAGUUUUUGUAUUUAUGUGAGGGCCAUACAUUAUGGAUUUUGUUUGCAUAUGCACACCUCAAUUAUUUGUAAAAAAAAGAAUUAUUUCACUAAGGUAAACUAAAGAUACUCCUAUUUUAAUUUAAUUUAAAAUUAAAUAUCACCACCACGUCACGAGAAAUGUACCCGUAGUCACAAUGAUGAUUUAUUUUCAUGCCUAAAGGUUUGCCUACCCGGAUGUUGUGGCCUAAGUAUGUUCUUAGGACCAAUUAAGAGAAUAAAAGUAAUAAAUUUCAACUUUUUUUCAUUUAAUAACAAAGCUCGUGGCCACAUAUUAUUAAAAGUUUUUCUAAACCAAUACAACCCAUUCAAUUGAAGCGAAGCAUCCAAUCCUAGUAUACCAAACGAAAUGAAAUGAUUAUAAGAAAUCAAACCCCAGUUGACCCAGUGUAUUAAUUCAAAUGAAUUUCAUCCAAGCAAAUGUAUGGUUUCUGGAAAUUUCAACAGAGAGAUAGGAACAAAACUUAUUAAAAUUCAAUCCACUUUAAUCAUAGAAAUCCGCAUCGCCAUAAUCAAACCAACAAGGGAAAGCUAACUACUGUAGAUUAAUACACAUAAUGAUGAAGUAUGCAUUGAUUUCACAUUCUAACUUGAAUAAAGACGAGCAACAAAUCAUCGUGCUUAAGGUUUUCACAUAUCCUUUUCAUGCUAAAAUCAUAUCAAAAAUAGAAUAAUAGGGAAUCGACAAUGAACCUGGACUGAAAUUCUUCUUAGUAACAGUAGAGGAAUGAGCAUAUACAAUGUUUUUCUCCCAAAUUUAAACUGAGAACAACACAAUCAAGCAGAAACGCGAGCCACACCACGAACCUCAGACAAAAACUCGAAUCGGCAUCAAAACAAACUCAAUCGAACCCCGUCGAUUCCAUGGAAGAAAAGGGAGUGGCGAUGAGAGGGGGGCUGCUAUGGUGGUGGAAGAGCUCGACGACAGUGAGGCGCGACUGGGUUCUCUGAGGGGAUUGGUUUCCGACGAAGCAACGAUUGCUGGUGUGGGCUCCGCUGGAGAUGAGGAAAGGGGGGUCGUUUGGAGAAGACGAAGUCAGGGCGUGGGGUCAUUUAUGGCUGCGGCGGAUCUGUUUUUUCUCUUAGGUCUAGGUGUAUUUUUUUGCUAUUUCAGCUUUUUUUUACAGGCGUUAGGUGUUAGCCUAUAUAUGUAGGUCCUAGAGUCUAGGUUUAUAUUUUGUGUAUUUUCUUUUAGGUCCUUAGGGUCUUUUUAUUUAUUUUUGUACAAAAGAAGAGUCUAGAAGGGUCCCUAGGAUUAGCUUAAUGAGUAUUGGGUAUUGGGCUUAAGGAAUGGGCUAGAAACUUGGGCCUUUAUGACUAGAUAUGCUUAAAAUUAGCUUAAUUAACUAAAAAUCUAUCCAUA